rnacentral:lncRNA from 1 species
AAGAUCGUGCAGGUAAACGUCCAAGGGUGCAAGAGGAUUUAUUUUCCUCAGGCACAACAGAUUACUCCCAGAUUCCACAGUCCUCAGGUGCAUGGAAAGGUCUUGUAGACAGUUUGGUGAAGGAGAAAGCUUUUAUGCAGAAGGCCUAUGAAGAAAGAAUUGAGAGACUUGAAGGACAACUCCUACUUGUUUAUGCUCGUCCUGAUGACACAUGUCCUUAAAUGGUUUUCUUGGUUGUAUUUUGGGUUGAUAACUUUGUUUUGUUAUCAAAAAU